rnacentral:misc_RNA from 1 species
GAAGCAAAGUUGGAAGCAUUAUCAGAAGUUCUUAAAGAUGUAAUUAUAACUUAAAAGAAUUGUUGUAAUAGGUAUUUGCAGAGAAAAACUCUAUAUUUUAGUGUGAAUAUAGUUUAUACAAUCUUCCUAUUUGUAUACAAGAAUAUAGAUACAGCAGGAAUUCUAGAAUAACUAGGAAUAGAGUUAAGUAUUCGGUUUAAACCUAAUCGAACCGAACCAAACUGAAUCAUCAAAACUGAAUUAAUCG